UACGGAGGGUGCAAGCGUUGUUCGGAAUCACUGGGCGUAAAGCGCGCGCAGGCGGUCCUUUAAGUCUGAUGUGAAAGCCCACGGCUCAACCGUGGAGGGUCAUUGGAAACUGGGGGACUUGAGUACAGAAGAGAAGAGUGGAAUUCCACGUGUAGCGGUGAAAUGCGUAGAGAUGUGGAGGAACACCAGUGGCGAAGGCGACUCUUUGGUCUGUAACUGACGCUGAGGCGCGAAAGCGUGGGGAGCAAACAGG
rnacentral:rRNA from 1 species